ensembl:misc_RNA 7SK 7SK RNA
GGAUGUGAGGGUAAUCUGGCUCCAACCUCUGAUACCCUAUUGAUCGCCAGGGUUGAUCAGGCUCAUCUGGCUGGCUGAGCAAGUGUCCCCACCCUCCCUCACUACUCCCUGGGUGACCCUUGGCCUGAAUCUGUGCUCUUGAGCAAGGCAGAUGACCACCACCCCUGUUGGAGGAGGACCAUCUCCUUGGACAGGGGUAUGCCAGUAGCUCCAGUUCUCUGCUGGAACUUCCAAACAAGCUCUCAAGGAACUGUACCUGCAACUAUGGAUGCUAAGUCUCUUGUUCUGCAGGCUGAAGGGAAGGCUUAAACCUAGGGGAACUGGUGACACAGGUCCCAGUUU